ACGGAUUGAUACUCUCAUAUCUUAAUUGAUUGCUCAUUUCUGGCACUAUCUCCAAGUCUAAACGGUACAAACAAGAAGCUGCAAAAUUUAAAGCUGAGAUAGGCAUUCAAUGCUAGAAGGUGAUGGAACAAAUGGAAAACUUCCUUUGAAACCUAUUAUAUACUUCCAGACAUGGAGAGUUGGUACAGAGGUCUUUCCAAUCAAUAGCUUCUUGGCCAAUCAAGACCAAACUUUGCCAAAAGUGCGAAUGCAAAGUGCUCUCUCUCUUAAAAAGAAGGCCAAUUGUGAGUGAGACAUUCAAGGUUUUGUAGAAGCGAAUGGCAGCUGAAGGUUAAGAGCCAUCGAGAAUAGGAAUGUUUUUUUAUUCAUGUGUAGCUAGCUAAGAAUGCUCUUGUUUGGUGCAUUAUCUUGUUACU